GAGAUGUUCCCUCCUCGUCGUCCUCAGGUGGUAACGCUUCAAGGUGCUCAUCAGCAAGAGUGCCCAUCUCUUCAAUGUAGAAGGCUUGCUCGAACACAGUUGGUUUCUUCAUUUUCUCCUUGAUGUCAAAGUGGAGAACAUGCCCUUUACCCAAAUGGAGAUCAAUCGUGCCCUCUUUCACCUUAACAAUUGCUCCUGUUGUAGCUAAGAAUGGUCUUCCAAGAAUCAAUGGGUCUUGAGCCUCCUCACCCAUCUCAAGCACCACAAAAUCUGUAGGUAUCUCAUACCUUCCAAUCUUCACAGGGAGGUCCUCUAUGAUGCCCACAGGGUACUGCACUGAACGAUC
rnacentral:lncRNA from 1 species